rnacentral:rRNA from 1 species
AGUGAACGCUGGCGGUAUGCCUAACACAUGCAAGUCGAACGGCAGCACAGUAAGAGCUUGCUCUUACGGUUGGCGAGUGGCGGACGGGUAAGGAAUACAUCGGAAUCUACUUUUUCGUGGGGGAUAACGUAGGGAAACUUACGCUAAUACCGCAUACGACCUACGGCUGAAAGCAGGGGAUCUUCGGACCUUGCCCGAUUCAAUGAGCCGAUGUCGGAUUAGCUAGUUGGCGGGGUAAAGGCCCACCAAGGCGACGAUCCGUAGCUGGUCUGAGAGGAUGAUCAGCCACACUGGAACUGAGACACGGUCCAGACUCCUACGGGAGGCAGCAGUGGGGAAUAUUGGACAAUGGGCGAAAGCCUGAUGCAGCCAUACCGCGUGAGUGAAGAAGGCCUUCGGGUUGUAAAGCCCUUUUGUUGGGAAAGAAAAGCAGCAGGUUAAUACCCCGCUGUUCUGACGGUACCUAAAGAAUAAGCACCGGCUAACUUCGUG